GAAAUUCUUCGGGGCAGGGUGACUGUGAUCUGCAUGAUGCAGAAAGCGGAAUUCCCUACCGGCGGUAUAGUCCGCGACCCGCUAUGAGCGGUUGAUCUGGUGACCGGAAGCAUCCGGAAUCCCAGAACCGACAGUAAAGUCUGGAUGAGAGAAGAACACG
rnacentral:ncRNA from 2 species